rnacentral:rRNA from 1 species
GAUCAGACCUGUUGUGUUGACUGUGCGCGGUAAUAUAUGUGUGUGUGGGCUCUGGGGAUAGUAUGAUCGCAUUAAGGAAACUUAAAUAGAUUGACGGAAGGACACCACCAGGAGUGGAGUGUGCGGCUUAAUUUGACUCAACGCG